CAGGUUUAUUGUAUUUUACAGACCAGGAGGAACAGGUUUAUUGUAUUUUACAGACCAGGAGGAACAGGUUUAUUGUAUUAAACAGACCAGGAGGAACAGGUUUAUUGUAUUUUACAGACUAGACCAGGAGGAACAGGUUUAUUGUAUUUUACAGACCAGGAGGAACAGGUUUAUUGUAUUUUACAGACUAGACCAGGAGGAACAGGUUUAUUGUAUUUUACAGACUAGACCAGGAGGAACAGGUUUAUUGUAUUUUACAGACCAGGAGGAACAGGUUUAUUGUAUUUUACAGACUAGACCAGGAGGAACAGGUUUAUUGUAUUUUACAGACUAGACCAGGAGGAACAGGUUUAUUGUAUUUUACAGACCAGGAGGAACAGGUUUAUUGUAUUUUACAGACUAGACCAGGAGGAACAGGUUUAUUGUAUUUUACAGACCAGGAGGAACAGGUUUAUUGUAUUUUACAGACCAGGAGGA